UCCGGGCUGGGGAUGUGGCUCAGUUGGUAGAGUGCUUGCCUUGUAAGCAGGAGGCCCUGGGUUCGAUCCCCAGCACUGGAA